rnacentral:rRNA from 1 species
CGAGUCCGAGUCUCCACGGAGACGAAGUGGCGGUCAUCCAGCUUCCUAGAAAAGCUCUAACCACGUUAAUCUUUAGUUGCCUGUACCCGAAACCGACACAGGUAGGGGGGUAGAGAAUACCAAGGGGCGCGAGAUAACUCUCUCUAAGGAACUCGGCAAAAUGACCCCGUAACUUCGGGAGAAGGGGUACCACUGAGAAGUGGUCGCAGUGAAGAGGCCCAGGCGACUGUUUACCAAAAACACAGGUCUCCGCCAAGUCGCAAGACGAAGUAUGGGGGCUGACGCCUGCCCAGUGCCGGAAGGUUAAGGAAGUGGGUUAGGGAUUCGUCCCGAAGCUGACGACUGAAGCCCCGGUGAACGGCGGCCGUAACUAUAACGGUCCUAAGGUAGCGAAAUUCCUUGUCGGGUAAGUUCCGACCCGCACGAAAGGCGUAACGAUCUGGGCGCUGUCUCGGAGAGAGGCUCGGCGAAAUAGGAUUGUCUGUGAAGAUACGGACUACCUGCACCUGGACAGAAAGACCCUAUGAAGCUUUACUGUAGCUUGGAAUUGGGUUCGGGCUUGGUUUGCGCAGGAUAGGUGGGAGGCGAAGAAGAUUUGCUUGUGGGUGAAUCUGAGCCAACGGUGAGAUACCACUCUAACCAGGCUAGAAUUCUAACUUCAACCCGUCAACCGGGGGAAGGACAGUUUCAGGUGGGCAGUUUGACUGGGGCGGUCGCCUCCUAAAAGAUAACGGAGGCGCACAAAGGUUCCCUCAGGCUGUUGGAAAUCAGCCAACGAGUGCAAAGGCAGAAGGGAGCUUGACUGCGAGACCUACAAGUCAAGCAGGGUGGAAACACGGUCUUAGUGAUCCGACGGCACCGAGUGGAAGGGCCGUCGCUCAACGGAUAAAAGUUACUCUAGGAUAACAGGCUGAUCUCCCCCAAGAGUUCACAUCGACGGGGAGGUUUGGCACCUCGAUGUCGGCUCAUCGCAACCUGGGGCGGAAGUACGUCCCAAGGGUUGGGCUGUUCGCCCAUUAAAGCGGUACGUGAGCUGGGUUCAGAACGUCGUGAGACAGUUCGGUCCAUAUCCGGUGUAGGCGCAAGAGCAUUGAGAGGAGUCUUCCUUAGUACGAGAGGACCGGGAAGAACGCACCGCUGGUGUACCUGUUAUCGUGCCAACGGUAAACGCAGGGUAGCCAAGUGCGGAGUGGAUAACCGCUGAAAGCAUCUAAGUGGGAAGCCCACCUCAAGAUGAGUGUUCUCAUGGAGUAAUCCAGUAAGGUCACGGGAAGACGACCCGUUGAUAGGCGGUAGGUGGAAGUUCAGCAAUGGAUGAAGCCGAGCCGUACUAACAGACCGAGGGCUUGACC